GUUGUUCACAGAGACCUCAAACCAGAAAAUCUUCUCUAUGCUGACUUGUCAAUAGAUGCACCUCUUAAGAUAGCGGACUUUGGUCUUUCUAAAAUAAUCGAUGAGCAAGUGACGAUGAAGACAGUAUGUGGGACCCCCGGCUACUGCGCUCCUGAGAUCCUCAGAGGAAACGCUUACGGUCCUGAGGUUGACAUGUGGUCGGUGGGAGUCAUCCUUUAUAUUUUG